ACUAAGCGUACACGGUGGAUGCCCUGGCAGUCAGAGGCGAUGAAGGACGUGCUAAUCUGCGAUAAGCGUCGGUAAGGUGAUAUGAACCGUUAUAACCGGCGAUUUCCGAAUGGGGAAACCCAGUGUGUUUCGACACACUAUCAUUAACUGAAUCCAUAGGUUAAUGAGGCGAACCGGGGGAACUGAAACAUCUAAGUACCCCGAGGAAAAGAAAUCAACCGAGAUUCCCCCAGUAGCGGCGAGCGAACGGGGAGCAGCCCAGAGCCUGAAUCAGUGUGUGUGUUAGUGGAAGCGUCUGGAAAGGCGCGCGAUACAGGGUGACAGCCCCGUACACAAAAAUGCACAUGCUGUGAGCUCGAUGAGUAGGGCGGGACACGUGGUAUCCUGUCUGAAUAUGGGGGGACCAUCCUCCAAGGCUAAAUACUCCUGACUGACCGAUAGUGAACCAGUACCGUGAGGGAAAGGCGAAAAGAACCCCGGCGAGGGGAGUGAAAAAGAACCUGAAACCGUGUACGUACAAGCAGUGGGAGCCUCUUUAUGGGGUGACUGCGUACCUUUUGUAUAAUGGGUCAGCGACUUAUAUUCUGUAGCAAGGUUAACCGAAUAGGGGAGCCGAAGGGAAACCGAGUCUUAACUGGGCGUUAAGUUGCAGGGUAUAGACCCGAAACCCGGUGAUCUAGCCAUGGGCAGGUUGAAGGUUGGGUAACACUAACUGGAGGACCGAACCGACUAAUGUUGAAAAAUUAGCGGAUGACUUGUGGCUGGGGGUGAAAGGCCAAUCAAACCGGGAGAUAGCUGGUUCUCCCCGAAAGCUAUUUAGGUAGCGCCUCGUGAAUUCAUCUCCGGGGGUAGAGCACUGUUUCGGCAAGGGGGUCAUCCCGACUUACCAACCCGAUGCAAACUGCGAAUACCGGAGAAUGUUAUCACGGGAGACACACGGCGGGUGCUAACGUCCGUCGUGAAGAGGGAAACAACCCAGACCGCCAGCUAAGGUCCCAAAGUCAUGGUUAAGUGGGAAACGAUGUGGGAAGGCCCAGACAGCCAGGAUGUUGGCUUAGAAGCAGCCAUCAUUUAAAGAAAGCGUAAUAGCUCACUGGUCGAGUCGGCCUGCGCGGAAGAUGUAACGGGGCUAAACCAUGCACCGAAGCUGCGGCAGCGACGCUUAUGCGUUGUUGGGUAGGGGAGCGUUCUGUAAGCCUGUGAAGGUGUGCUGUGAGGCAUGCUGGAGGUAUCAGAAGUGCGAAUGCUGACAUAAGUAACGAUAAAGCGGGUGAAAAGCCCGCUCGCCGGAAGACCAAGGGUUCCUGUCCAACGUUAAUCGGGGCAGGGUGAGUCGACCCCUAAGGCGAGGCCGAAAGGCGUAGUCGAUGGGAAACAGGUUAAUAUUCCUGUACUUGGUGUUACUGCGAAGGGGGGACGGAGAAGGCUAUGUUGGCCGGGCGACGGUUGUCCCGGUUUAAGCGUGUAGGCUGAUUUUCCAGGCAAAUCCGGAAAAUCAAGGCUGAGGCGUGAUGACGAGGCACUACGGUGCUGAAGCAACAAAUGCCCUGCUUCCAGGAAAAGCCUCUAAGCAUCAGGUAACAUCAAAUCGUACCCCAAACCGACACAGGUGGUCAGGUAGAGAAUACCAAGGCGCUUGAGAGAACUCGGGUGAAGGAACUAGGCAAAAUGGUGCCGUAACUUCGGGAGAAGGCACGCUGAUAUGUAGGUGAAGUCCCUCGCGGAUGGAGCUGAAAUCAGUCGAAGAUACCAGCUGGCUGCAACUGUUUAUUAAAAACACAGCACUGUGCAAACACGAAAGUGGACGUAUACGGUGUGACGCCUGCCCGGUGCCGGAAGGUUAAUUGAUGGGGUCAGCGCAAGCGAAGCUCUUGAUCGAAGCCCCGGUAAACGGCGGCCGUAACUAUAACGGUCCUAAGGUAGCGAAAUUCCUUGUCGGGUAAGUUCCGACCUGCACGAAUGGCGUAAUGAUGGCCAGGCUGUCUCCACCCGAGACUCAGUGAAAUUGAACUCGCUGUGAAGAUGCAGUGUACCCGCGGCAAGACGGAAAGACCCCGUGAACCUUUACUAUAGCUUGACACUGAACAUUGAGCCUUGAUGUGUAGGAUAGGUGGGAGGCUUAGAAGUGUGGACGCCAGUCUGCAUGGAGCCGGCCUUGAAAUACCACCCUUUAAUGUUUGAUGUUCUAACGUGGACCCGUAAUCCGGGUUGCGGACAGUGUCUGGUGGGUAGUUUGACUGGGGCGGUCUCCUCCUAAAGAGUAACGGAGGAGCACGAAGGUUGGCUAAUCCUGGUCGGACAUCAGGAGGUUAGUGCAAUGGCAUAAGCCAGCUUGACUGCGAGCGUGACGGCGCGAGCAGGUGCGAAAGCAGGUCAUAGUGAUCCGGUGGUUCUGAAUGGAAGGGCCAUCGCUCAACGGAUAAAAGGUACUCCGGGGAUAACAGGCUGAUACCGCCCAAGAGUUCAUAUCGACGGCGGUGUUUGGCACCUCGAUGUCGGCUCAUCACAUCCUGGGGCUGAAGUAGGUCCCAAGGGUAUGGCUGUUCGCCAUUUAAAGUGGUACGCGAGCUGGGUUUAGAACGUCGUGAGACAGUUCGGUCCCUAUCUGCCGUGGGCGCUGGAGAACUGAGGGGGCUGCUCCUAGUACGAGAGGACCGGAGUGGACGCAUCACUGGUGUUCGGGUUGUCAUGCCAAUGGCACUGCCCGGUAGCUAAAUGCGGAAGAGAUAAGUGCUGAAAGCAUCUAAGCACGAAACUUGCCCCGAGAUGAGUUCUCCCUGACUCCUUGAGAGUCCUGAAGGAACGUUGAAGACGACGACGUUGAUAGGCCGGGUGUGUAAGCGCAGCGAUGCGUUGAGCUAACCGGUACUAAUGAACCGUGAGGCUUAACC
rnacentral:rRNA from 1 species